UCUGGAUUCAACUGCUGGUAAGGGAUAUUAAAAUCCCUAAUUUCGUGGUACCUAGUUCCUCUUAGCUUGCUUUAGCUUUGGCCGCAUAAGCUUCGCUUUUGAAACCCUUCUUCCCCGAAAUCAUUUUUCCUCGUGCAUCAAAUUCUUGCUCCAUUGAGCUCACCGUUCGGUUUGACAUUGAAAUCGUUGUUCGGUUUGCCAUUAAAAUCCCUAAGUACAGGUUUUAUUCUUCCUCCAUUACUUAGUCUUCUUCCUCCAUUGAAAUUCCUAAGGUAAGUGUGUCGCAAUUAUCAUCCAGAUCUAUCUUUUAUUCUCCGUUCAUUGUGUUCAUCAUUCGCAAUCUCGGUCAUUUGUGUAUUCGUUAAUGGACGUCGCUUCUCUUCUUUGUUCAUUGUCUUCUUCAUUGUUUUGCAUUUUCGCCAUCCCUAAAUUGGAUUCAAUUUUCAGUUCAUCUUCUCCUGCAAUUCGUAAAUCCAUCAUGACCUAAACCUAAAAUUUGUUUUCCAUCCUCAACAAUCUUUCCAGCGUGAAGGUGGAGUGAACAGUGUUAGGAGCUUGAAGGCUUUCGUUGACGAGGGAUUUGACCGUGAGAAGAACCAGAACCAGGUAUGAGAGCUAACCCGUGUAUGUCCUUGUUUUUUUUCUUGACGUGACAAGCGAAAUAUUCGAAUUUGUGGCUCGAAGAUCGCUUCUGCUUCAACAAAUGGUCUCCGUAUCAUGAAACAAUUGAUUUUGAUGUCCACAGUAACCACGUUGAGUUUUUUUUAUCAUCAUUUAAAAGAUGAGCAUUUAACUCCUUUGUUUGAAGAGAUAGUAAAGUUAGAACGAGCUCUUUUCAACAUUCAGUGUGAACAACAUUGGCUUGAGGCUCACCCAGAACGCCAGGCAAUAGAAUACUCAAGCCAGCUGGGAGCACCAGGUGCUACCUUAUGUUCUUUGCCACCUUUAUUGUUGGUGGUUUGAUCCAACCCUGUUGUUUGAAACCUUCUCUUGGCUUGUUUUCUUGCUUGAUAAUUGUAUUUGCUUUCUUCAUCUCUGUCAGAUGUUAUUUGAACCUUAUCUUUUUCCCAGAUAAAGUCUUGUUCUAUCUAUGGUCAGCUGCAGUUUUGUUUUUAUAUUUGUCCCAGGUGCAGUCUUCCUCCCAUCUUUAUCUCAUUGCAGUCUAGACUCUGUAUUCACUUCCUAAGUCCCAUAUGUAAUGACACCAACACCUCGAGCAUAUCUCACAUUAUCAUCUAUCUAGUGUGAUAUUAGUCAAGGUUUUUGGUUGCGCCAUCUGUGAUUAUUACAAUUCUGUAACACCCCUUUAUUGUUGCUUUUCCUCCAUUUGAGCCCAUUGUCAUUGCUGACAAUUACUUGAUUCAUACGUUGCUUGGGCUGUUAUACGCACUCCACCUACUCUAAUCACUUCAGCGAUCAACUUGCACAGUGCAUUUCACAUGUUACUUUGACUCAUUCCAUGCCUUUCUUUGAACAUUCUUACAUGUGAAACAAAUAUAGAUAUGCAUAAAGCAUAAGGCCUGAAACGAAGAAAUCUCUGUUGUUUCGUCCACUGCGACCAUUUUCAAUUCUGUGUCAUUGCUCAGCUUGGCCAUUAACUCAACGUCCACCUCCUCCUUCUUUGUUCCAAAUAUUUUCCUACUGUUGUUCACUGAGCCUUUCAACUUCUCAAUCGAUUCACGGCUGAAACUGAAGAUUCUCUCUCGAAAGGGCGAGUCAACAUCGAAGGGAUAGAAAGCACCUCUUUGACGACUUUCUCCUGCAACUGAAGAGGUUGCAAUUCGUGUUCGGCAGGAGCUUGAGUACGUGUCUUUCUCCCAGCAAUGGACCAAAAAAUUCUUGCUAAUUCUGUAGCCUUCUUGCGGUGCUUGUUCCCAAGGUGCACAGUAGGACAUGUAAAUGACAAUAACAGAAGUCACUGAAAAUAGCUUGUGGCAAGACCCUGCUUGAACUAUUGAGGGAAAUCAUGUGAGUUGUCCAAUGAACAUGGAGGAAAAGGCCCACCACAUAGCUCUCCAUUUAUUUGUAUGUUUUUUUUAAAAUAUACAAUCGACUAACUAUUAUGAUAUAUUAUAGGUAUAUAAUCAAGGAAACAUGCUAAAUGAUGAAUGUAACGAAGAUGAAAAAAUUAUUUUUUUCAUUAAUUUUUAGUAUUGAACAUAUUUUUAUUAAAUUUUAUGUAUGAACAACUAGUUGUGUUUGUAUUGAUAUGCAAUGUAUGAAGUUUUGAGGAUGCAAAUAUCACCUGCUACUCUUUUCGUUGUGUCUGUAUUGAUAUGCUAGUAUCUUUAAGUGCUUUCCUAAAGCUGCCAAACAAGGAA